rnacentral:tRNA from 1 species
GCCCCCAUAGUUCAACGGACAGAACGAGACACUCCUAACGUCUAAAUCCAUGUUCGAUUCAUGGUGGGGGCA